GACGAACGCUGGCGGCGUGCUUAAUACAUGCAAGUCGAACGGAAAGGCCCUGCUUUUGUGGGGUGCUCGAGUGGCGAACGGGUGAGUAACACGUGAGUAACCUGCCCUUGACUUUGGGAUAACUUCAGGAAACUGGUGCUAAUACCGGAUAGGAGCUCCUGCUGCAUGGGGGGGUUUGGAAAGUUUCGGAGGUUGGGGAUGGACUCGCGGCUUAUCAGCUUGUUGGUGGGGUAGUGGCUUACCAAGGCUUUGACGGGUAGCCGGCCUGAGAGGGUGACCGGGCACAUUGGGCCUGAGAUACGGCCCAGACUCCUACGGGAGGCAGCAGUGGAGAAUAUUGCAAAAUGGGCGGAAGCCUGAUGCAGCAACGCCGCGUGCGGGAUGACGGCCUUCGGGUUGUAAACCGCUUUCGCCUGUGACGAAGCGUGAGUGACGGUAAUGGGUAAAGAAGCACCGGCUAACUACGUG
rnacentral:rRNA from 1 species